rnacentral:misc_RNA from 1 species
AAGUCGUAACAAGGUAACCGUAGGUGAACCUGCGGUUGGAUCAUUUCCGAUAAUUCGCCCUGACGAAGGGUCGAACAACACCUGUGCACACAAACUCCUGAUCAUUCUGACUGACCAGUUUCGGCGCUCGACGCCUUUAAUCUUAAACAACUUUCGACAAUGGAUCUCUUGGCUCUC